rnacentral:piRNA from 1 species
UAGUGACUGGUUAAGCUCGCUAUUGAUUUC